AGAGUUUGAUCCUGGCUCAGGAUGAACGCUAGCUACAGGCUUAACACAUGCAAGUCGAGGGGCAGCAUCAUCAAAGCUUGCUUUGAUGGAUGGCGACCGGCGCACGGGUGAGUAACACGUAUCCAACCUGCCGACAACACUGGGAUAGCCUUUCGAAAGAAAGAUUAAUACCGGAUGGCAUAAUUAUUCCGCAUGGGAUAAUUAUUAAAGAAUUUCGGUUGUCGAUGGGGAUGCGUUCCAUUAGGCAGUUGGCGGGGUAACGGCCCACCAAACCUACGAUGGAUAGGGGUUCUGAGAGGAAGGUCCCCCACAUUGGAACUGAGACACGGUCCAAACUCCUACGGGAGGCAGCAGUGAGGAAUAUUGGUCAAUGGACGAGAGUCUGAACCAGCCAAGUAGCGUGAAGGAUGACUGCCCUAUGGGUUGUAAACUUCUUUUAUACGGGAAUAAAGUUAGCCACGUGUGGCUUUUUGUAUGUACCGUAUGAAUAAGGAUCGGCUAACUCCGUGCCAGCAGCCGCGGUAAUACGGAGGAUCCGAGCGUUAUCCGGAUUUAUUGGGUUUAAAGGGAGCGUAGGCGGGUUGUUAAGUCAGUUGUGAAAGUUUGCGGCUCAACCGUAAAAUUGCAGUUGAUACUGGCGACCUUGAGUGCAACAGAGGUAGGCGGAAUUCGUGGUGUAGCGGUGAAAUGCUUAGAUAUCACGAAGAACUCCGAUUGCGAAGGCAGCUUACUGGAUUGUAACUGACGCUGAUGCUCGAAAGUGUGGGUAUCAAACAGGAUUAGAUACCCUGGUAGUCCACACAGUAAACGAUGAAUACUCGCUGUUGGCGAUAUACGGUCAGCGGCCAAGCGAAAGCAUUAAGUAUUCCACCUGGGGAGUACGCCGGCAACGGUGAAACUCAAAGGAAUUGACGGGGGCCCGCACAAGCGGAGGAACAUGUGGUUUAAUUCGAUGAUACGCGAGGAACCUUACCCGGGCUUAAAUUGCAACUGACUGAACCGGAAACGGUUCUUUCUUCGGACAGUUGUGAAGGUGCUGCAUGGUUGUCGUCAGCUCGUGCCGUGAGGUGUCGGCUUAAGUGCCAUAACGAGCGCAACCCUUACGGGUAGUUACCAUCAGGUUAUGCUGGGGACUCUACCCGGACUGCCGUCGUAAGAUGUGAGGAAGGUGGGGAUGACGUCAAAUCAGCACGGCCCUUACGUCCGGGGCUACACACGUGUUACAAUGGGGGGUACAGAAGGCAGCUACACGGCGACGUGGUGCUAAUCCCAAAAGCCUCUCUCAGUUCGGAUUGGAGUCUGCAACCCGACUCCAUGAAGCUGGAUUCGCUAGUAAUCGCGCAUCAGCCACGGCGCGGUGAAUACGUUCCCGGGCCUUGUACACACCGCCCGUCAAGCCAUGAAAGCCGGGGGUACCUGAAGUACGUAACCGCGAGGAGCGUCCUAGGGUAAAACUGGUGAUUGGGGCUAAGUCGUAACAAGGUAGCCGUACCGGAAGGUGCGGCUG
rnacentral:rRNA from 1 species